UCCGGUUUGUCACCGGCAGUCAGCCUAGAGUGCCCGCCAUGACGCGCUGGCAACUAAGCUCAAGGGUUGCGCUCGUUGCGGGACUUAACCCAACAUCUCACGACACGAGCUGACGACAACCAUGCACCACCUGUCUCCCCUGUCCCGAAGGAAAGGCGCAUCUCUGCACCGGUCAGGGGGAUGUCAAGACCUGGUAAGGUUCUUCGCGUUGCUUCGAAUUAAACCACAUACUCCACUGCUUGUGCGGGUCCCCGUCAAUUCCUUUGAGUUUCAGUCUUGCGACCGUACUCCCCAGGCGGCAUGCUUACUGUGUUAACUUCGGCACCAAGGGCAUCGAAACCCCUAACACCUAGCAUGCAUCGUUUACGGCGUGGACUAC
rnacentral:misc_RNA from 1 species